GGCGCUAUGGCCGAGUGGUCUAAGGCGACAGAUUUGAAUCCAAAGCUCAUUAUCUGUUCCUCUCUGAGGGCGCAGGUUCGAACCCUGCUGGCGUCG
rnacentral:tRNA from 2 species